rnacentral:lncRNA from 1 species
GGCACCCAAUAAAUACAUAAUUAUUAGAAUGAAUACAUUCUAUCACAAUGUCUUAAUUCAACAGAUUCUUGGCACCUGUGGAUUUAACACUGGUAGUUUCUACUAUGUACAAAUGGCUUUCUAGGGUCAUGGCAUUCAGGUAUCAAAGAAACUGAUGUUUUCAGCUCAUGUUCACAUAGUUACUCUUACAAAGUAAUAUAAUCCUGGUUCUACUACUUACAAUCUGUGUAACCUUGAACAAAUUCCUUAAACUCUUGUGGAGCUGCUGUGAAGGUUAAAUGAGUUAAUUCACAUAAAUACUUAAAAUCGCAUCUGAUACACAGUAGAUAAUAUUCAAUAAAUAUUAGCUCUGUGUGUGUGUGUGUGCGUGUGUCAUACUUAUGAAAAGAAAGCCAACAGGUGGUACCAAAAGUGAAGAUAAAAUAAGAUAGUCUAAUCAAGUGAUGGUUUUCACACACACAAAAAGGAUGUUUUAUGGUGGAAAAUGUUAUUCUAUAGCUGUGUUCUUGAACUUUAAAAGUAGCAAUGAUCUUGAAAUAAAUCUCUCAGAAAUGUGAAGACUGUACUUCUUGCUGAAAUCAAUAUAACAGCCUAACAGGUGUCUCCUGUCUUGAUAAAGUAGGCCAUUCCUAAAUCUAUCCCAUGCUGUGGAUGUUAUUCCCACUGCUAAAACAACUUUACUCACAGUCUGUUCAAUGCUAAUCUCAAAUAUAAUCUCAUCAGUAAAUUCUUUUCCUAAUCAUUUUCCAAGAUACCUGAUUACUCCUGUCUUUGAAAUAUCCAAAUAGUCUACAGCCGUACCAUCCUGAAUGUGCCCUAUCUCAUCUGAAACAUCCAAAUAACCUCGAACUUCUUAUUCUACUACAUAGUAAAAUCAUUUGUGUACUUAUCCUACUAGAUUAUAUGAGACUGCUUCUUGUUCAUCAUGCAUUCAAGAUUUACUGAGUGCUUGUCAUAUGCGAGGUACAGAGGAUACAAAGGCAAUGAGGACAUGCAAUAAAUAAUGCAGCAACACCAUAGCAGUAGGUACACUAUGCAGAGAUGGCAUAAAUGAGGAUGAUCUCUUCUACCACACAUCUGCAGUAUCUAGAAUGGCACAACAUGUAUGGUAGGGACCCAUAAGUAUUUGUCAACUUUAAUUCCUACCUGCUUUUUGAAGUUUUUCCAUACCACUAUAGCUUCCCUUUUUUUUUGGUUCUCCUCAAGGAGAAUGGUAUAGACAGAAUUUGCUCCCUAAAAGUCUGUCUACACCAUUCUGCACAUGGUAUCUUUUAAUCUAUGUGUUAGCAUCACAGGCUGUUAUUUAAUAUUUUACAUAUAAAUAUGUCCUAUCUUCCCCAACUAUAAAACAUGUGUUCAAAAGAGCAAGAAAUCCUAGAGCACUCUGUACUUAUUACUAAGCAUUUAGUAUCUGUUCAAUGGUCCUACAAUUUCCGAAAGCAACCAAAAUAUGUCAUGCACCUAUUUACAUAGCUGAUAGCAUCACUUCUGAACCACCCCACCUGUGCUCUGGGUUCUCUAUGAAACAAGUAGCUUUCACAUAGGUGUUCUUAAAGCAGGAGGCCAAAGAAAUGUCUGCUGGAAGCAUGAGACUAUGUCAUUGUUCUCAAGCUAGGAGUCCAGAACUUAGAAAUUCUGACAGAUUUAGCUCUUCUUCCAUCUAGAUGCCUGGGUCCUCUGAGAAUUCAGACACAAAUUUGUAUAAUGAAUUCACCCAGAUAUUUUGCUAAGCUAGGUGCCUAUAAGAUAAUAUGCACACAGAAAGCACUCAGUAAAUGACAGUUUCCUUUUUCUCCAAUCUUACAAGGUCCUAGAUCCUGUUGGUAACUAAGAAAAGGUAAAUGCAACUAUCAACCACUUAAUUCCAAUGCUUUGACUAUCCAGGAGAAAUUAAUUCCUGGUUCCCUGUUGAUUCUAAUCUAGGAGACAGCUUAAGGGAGCUCAUGGGUCUUGAAGCUUAUAAGGUGUACAGUAAGUCUUCACUUAAUGCCACUGAUCAUUCUUGGAAACUGUGAUUUCAGGCAAAAAUACAUACAGCAGGUCCUUGAAUAGUGUUGUUUCAUUCAACUUCAUUCCAUUGUAAUGUUGAUGAGAACAAAAAAUUGGUUUUGUUAUAUGUAGUUUUGCUUCAAGUCGCAGUUUCAAAAAACUUAUGUUAAGUGAGGACUUAAUUCACCUGAAAGCUUAUCACACACUCAAAUAUAACAAAUAGGAAACAUUAUGCAACUUGAAUACAAGAGUAUGUUCAUUGGUUUCUAUAGUUAUCAUUCCAUGUACAGUAUUCACGUGAAUUAUUGGAUGAAAAGUCCAAUUAUUUACAUAUUUGGAUACAAUCAUACUAUACUAGAACUGAAGACCAUACAGGUCUCUGUUCCAGCAUUUUCUGGCUACCUCAUGGCACUGCAUAAUCACUUCCACCCAAAUCUAGCCAAAUCUAAGUUUAAGCACUUCUGUAUCUAUUCCAAGACAAACUCCCUUUCUUGUUUAAUCUCAGUGACUCUUACUUCUAGAGAGGGCACUCUUCCUUCUAUAUCUCUUCCACCUCUAACCUUUCUAACCAUCAAGAACAUACAAUAGAUAGUAGAUCUCACAUUUUUA